UGUGUGUCGUCCGAUUCUCGGAUACUUUUCACAUUUUCUUCAUACCUCGGCUGCGUCACUAACAUAGGGCGGUUUUUUGUUGACUGAUAUCCUGCACUAUAAACCCAUCAAAGUUUCUCAUUCACUUAAAAUAGGUGCCAAAUUAUCAGAGCCCACCCAGUAUUUCGCCGGCGGUAUGCCUGGGCAGCCACGCAUAUGAGUACCUCAAUGCUGUACUGAUUGCUUUGACCUAUCACCGGAACAGAAAAUUAGCACUAACAUACGUGCGGGCAUCACAUUUGGUGGUACGCUGGAAGAUAUGCUACAAGUACGCUGUAUUACUAAUCGACGCUGGCAAUAAUGCGUCUGAAACGUUUGAAGGGCCCUGUAAUGGCUUUUACAAACAGCGCAUUCAAGUUAGCGUUCCAGUCUCAUACGAUAGCCCACAGCGUUUGUCAUACAACCUGCCAGCGCAUUUCCUUCGUCCACGAAAAAAGAUGAAUAAUGGUGAUAAAGAUGAAUAAGCCACCCGUUCCGGCGCGCAUGGCGCGCAGAGAGAGAGCGAAAAAAAAAUGAAGGAGGAAAAGGCGCUCACACUCCUCCGAGCGCGCGCGCCCUCGCGCGCGGAGCUCCUGCGCAUGCUCGGAGAUCUUGCGCAUGCGCGGCGGUGCGCCAUCUCAACGAGUGCGCCGGGCACGUAAACGGUUGUACCGGUGUGCGGUGUCCGCCUGAACGUUGGUGUCUGUGUAUGCGUGUCAUCUUUGUGGCAUCACACGUCAACUACACUGAACGCAUACACCUGCAGCACCUUUGGGACUAAUGACACAAAGGUCAAGGCCAGCCUGGCGACCAUGCUUGCCAAGGAGUAGUGUAAAUAUUUAAUCUGUUUCCAUAAUAGCAUAAGACAAGAAUUUAAGGAAUUCAUGUAUUAUAUCGAGCAAUAAAAACGGUUAAUGCAUUGCC